rnacentral:rRNA from 1 species
GACGAACGCUGGCGGCGUGCUUAACACAUGCAAGUCGAGCGGUAAGGCCCUUUCGGGGGUACACGAGCGGCGAACGGGUGAGUAACACGUGGGUGACCUGCCCUUAGCUCUGGGAUAAGCCUGGGAAACUGGGUCUAAUACCGGAUAUGACUCCAUGACGCAUGUUGUGGGGUGAAAGCCUUGUGCGGCUAGGGAUGGGCCCGCGGCCUAUCAGCUUGGUUGGUGGGGUGAUGGCCACCAAGGCGACGACGGGUAGCCGGCCUGAGAGGGCCGACC